rnacentral:rRNA from 1 species
GUAGGGAGCAAACGUUGUCCGGAUUUAUUGGGCGUAAAGGGCUCGUAGGCGGUUCAACAAGUCGGUCGUGAAAACCCGGGGCUCAACCCCGGGACGCCGGUCGAAACUGUUGUGACUAGAGUUCGGUAGAGGUGAGUGGAAUUCUCGGUGUAGCGGUGGAAUGCGCAGAUAUCGAGAGGAACACCAUUAGCGAAGGCGGCUCACUGGGCCGAUACUGACGCUGAGGAGCGAAAGCGUGGGGAGCAAACAGGAUUAGAUACCCUGGGUAGUCCACGCCGUAAACGAUGAACACUAGGUGUGGCGGACUGAUUCAUGUCGGCUGCGCCGUAGCUAACGCAUUAAGUGUUCCGCCUGGGGAGUACGGCCGCAAGGCUA